rnacentral:lncRNA from 1 species
UGCUUAAAAAUUAAAAUCACCUUCCCGAACUGUACUUUAAAGGGUGGCGGAAUCAGAAGCCAGAUGUCAGUGUUUGUGCGUGAGGAGUGACUGAGCUUCGGCGGCGGACAGCCAUCUUAGUUUCCCAUGGACAAAGUCACGUGACACUAGUGUCAGCGUGAUGGGGCGGGCAGUUUGGUUAUUUCACUUCUCAAGAGCGGAGACUGGGGUAAAGAGGUGUCCAAGUGUCUCCUGAAGCAAUGUAUAAAUCCACUGACCAGAAAGGCUCCCUCUGGCAGACUUCAGGUUACAGAACGAGGAUAAACAGGUUUUAAGAUACACAAACUGAAGGUGAACAAAGAUGGUCCUGAGAGUCUCUCAGCAUAGGAGGGGAGAGAUGCAGAGAAGAUGUGAGAGACUAGAGCCCCGAGGAAGAGAAUUCAGAAGUAUGAUCUGUAGAAAAGAAGACAUGAUCUGUCUCAGAGGCUCGUGCCUUCCUUCCUAUUCACCCGAGACCCCUUGCCUCUCUUCAGUUAUGCCCAAGACAAAGCCUCGCCAACAGCAAACUGAAGACUUUCAGUUCUGUAAUUAAGGCCAUUACAGGUUACUUCAUGGAGUUGCUGUUGAUACCACCUGCUAGACACUGCCAAGAACCAAGUCACUUCAGUCUACGUGGAGAAAGCUACUGAUCCCACAGAAAACGGAACUAAGAUGUAACCUCUACAGAGGGAGGGAACUCAGGCCCCAUUCAACUGCUACAUGGCUUAGUCCAGUCAACCCAAUGACAACAGAGACAUCUAAAGACUGAUACUCUGAACAGUUGACCAGAUAAUCAGCCCUUUAAUUAGCAACCUUGGAUAUACCCAUUAUAUCAGAGCAGAAUGCCCAAGUACCUAAGGAUCACAAAGAAAAUAUACAGCUAAACUCAGUCUAAGCUAUGUGUUAUAAAGUCAAUAAGUUUCUCACAUAUGCUUCCUGGUGAGAUAGGGGUGAAGUAUCCAAAUUAAGGGUUGCAAAGAGAAUUUAAAAUCAUGUCUUGGCAUGUGAUUAUCAAGACAGAAUAGGCAAUGAGUUGUAAUUCAUCUUCUAAAUAAGAGGAGGAAUGAUCUAAACCAAUAAAGAUGGAGAUAUUCUAAGAGCUCUCUUCAGAUUGGAGGGAAGCCAUCUGCUUAAAAGAGAAGGC